rnacentral:rRNA from 1 species
CGAAACCCGGUGAUCUAGCCAUGGGCAGGUUGAAGGUUGGGUAACACUAACUGGAGGACCGAACCGACUAAUGUUGAAAAAUUAGCGGAUGACUUGUGGCUGGGGGUGAAAGGCCAAUCAAACCGGGAGAUAGCUGGUUCUCCCCGAAAGCUAUUUAGGUAGCGCCUCGUGAACUCAUCUUCGGGGGUAGAGCACUGUUUCGGCUAGGGGGUCAUCCCGACUUACCAACCCGAUGCAAACUACGAAUACCGAAGAAUGUUAUCACGGGAGACACACGGCGGGUGCUAACGUCCGUCGUGAAGAGGGAAACAACCCAGACCGCCAGCUAAGGUCCCAAAGUCAUGGUUAAGUGGGAAACGAUGUGGGAAGGCACAGACAGCCAGGAUGUUGGCUUAGAAGCAGCCAUCAUUUAAAGAAAGCGUAAUAGCUCACUGGUCGAGUCGGCCUGCGCGGAAGAUGUAACGGGGCUAAACCAUGCACCGAAGCUGCGGCAGCGACACUAUGUGUUGUUGGGUAGGGGAGCGUUCUGUAAGCCUGCGAAGGUGACCUGUGAGGGUUGCUGGAGGUAUCAGAAGUGCGAAUGCUGACAUAAGUAACGAUAAAGCGGGUGAAAAGCCCGCUCGCCGGAAGACCAAGGGUUCCUGUCCAACGUUAAUCGGGGCAGGGUGAGUCGACCCCUAAGGCGAGGCCGAAAGGCGUAGUCGAUGGGAAACAGGUUAAUAUUCCUGUACUUGGUGUUACUGCGAAGGGGGGACGGAGAAGGCUAUGUUAGCCGGGCGACGGUUGUCCCGGUUUAAGCAUGUAGGCUGGUUGUCCAGGCAAAUCCGGAUAAUCAAGGCUGAGGUGUGAUGACGAGGCACUACGGUGCUGAAGUAACAAAUGCCCUGCUUCCAGGAAAAGCCUCUAAGCAUCAGGUAACAUUAAAUCGUACCCCAAACCGACACAGGUGGUCAGGUAGAGAAUACCAAGGCGCUUGAGAGAACUCGGGUGAAGGAACUAGGCAAAAUGGUGCCGUAACUUCGGGAGAAGGCACGCUGGUGUGUAGGUGAAGUCCCUGCGGAUGGAGCUGAGACCAGUCGAAGAUACCAGCUGGCUGCAACUGUUUAUUAAAAACACAGCACUGUGCAAACACGAAAGUGGACGUAUACGGUGUGACGCCUGCCCGGUGCCGGAAGGUUAAUUGAUGGGGUUAUCCGUAAGGAGAAGCUCUUGAUCGAAGCCCCGGUAAACGGCGGCCGUAACUAUAACGGUCCUAAGGUAGCGAAAUUCCUUGUCGGGUAAGUUCCGACCUGCACGAAUGGCGUAAUGAUGGCCAGGCUGUCUCCACCCGAGACUCAGUGAAAUUGAACUCGCUGUGAAGAUGCAGUGUACCCGCGGCAAGACGGAAAGACCCCGUGAACCUUUACUAUAGCUUGACACUGAACAUUGAGCCUUGAUGUGUAGGAUAGGUGGGAGGCUUUGAAGCGUGGACGCCAGUCUGCGUGGAGCCAACCUUGAAAUACCACCCUUUAAUGUUUGAUGUUCUAACGUUGGCCCCUUACCGGGGUUGCGGACAGUGUCUGGUGGGUAGUUUGACUGGGGCGGUCUCCUCCCAAAGCGUAACGGAGGAGCACGAAGGUUAGCUAAUCCUGGUCGGACAUCAGGAGGUUAGUGCAAUGGCAUAAGCUAGCUUGACUGCGAGCGUGACGGCGCGAGCAGGUGCGAAAGCAGGUCAUAGUGAUCCGGUGGUUCUGAAUGGAAGGGCCAUCGCUCAACGGAUAAAAGGUACUCCGGGGAUAACAGGCUGAUACCGCCCAAGAGUUCAUAUCGACGGCGGUGUUUGGCACCUCGAUGUCGGCUCAUCACAUCCUGGGGCUGAAGUAGGUCCCAAGGGUAUGGCUGUUCGCCAUUUAAAGUGGUACGCGAGCUGGGUUUAGAACGUCGUGAGACAGUUCGGUCCCUAUCUGCCGUGGGCGCUGGAGAAUUGAGGGGGGCUGCUCCUAGUACGAGAGGACCGGAGUGGACGCAUCACUGGUGUUCGGGUUGUCAUGCCAAUGGCACUGCCCGGUAGCUAAAUGCGGAAGAGAUAAGUGCUGAAAGCAUCUAAGCACGAAACUUGCCCCGAGAUGAGUUCUCCCUGAGACUUUAAGUCUCCUGAAGGAACGUUAAAGACGAUGACGUUGAUAGGCCGGGUGUGUAAGCGCAGCGAUGCGUUGAGCUAACCGGUACUAAUGAACCGUGAGGCUUAACCUU